AAUAUUGGACAAUGGGCGAAAGCCUGAUCCAGCCAUGCCGCGUGUGUGAAGAAGUCCUUCGGAUUGUAAAGCACUCUACGUUGGGUGGAAGGGCAGUAAGUUAAUACCUUGCUGUUUCGACGUUACCGACAGAUUAAGCACCGGCUAACUCCGUGCCAGCAGCAGCAGUAAUACGAAGGGUGCAAGCAUUAAUCGGAAUUACUGGGCGUAAAGCGCGCGUAGGUGGUUUGUUAAGUUGGAAGUGAAAGCCCCGGGCUAAACCUGGGAACUGCUCUCAAAACUGGCAAGCUAGAGUAUGGCAGAGGGUGGUGGAAUUUCCUGUGUAGCGGUGAAAUGCGUAGAUAUAGGAAGGAACACCAGUGGCGAAGGCGACUACCUGGACUGAUACUGACACAGAGGUGCGAAAGCGUGGGGAGCAAAC
rnacentral:rRNA from 1 species